rnacentral:misc_RNA from 1 species
ACCCGUUGCAACUCAUGCUUAUUUUUUGUUCUUGUUAUUACUGCAAAAUGAAAUCAAUUAAUGAACCCAGGGUGGUGUGUUUAUGUUUGAAUCAACUCAACACAAGAAGGAAUAAUUAUAAGGGAAUUUAGCAAGCUAGCUAACAAAGAGAGAGAGGAUGCAAAUGGUGGUUUGGGUG